rnacentral:lncRNA from 1 species
AUGUGCAGUGAGCCCAAUGAGCCCAAGGACAUCCUGAUCAGCUUUGAUGUGGUGUCCCUUUUUACCAAAGUCCCAGUAGCUGACACCCUCACACUAAUCAAACAAAACUUCCCAGAAGACAUCACAGCCCUGUUUCACCAUUGCCUCACCACUAGCUACUUUCAGUGGGACACUGGAUUCUAUGAACAGAAGGAUGGAGUGGCCAUGGGGAGCCCUCUCAGCCCAGUAGUAGCAAAUUUCUAUAUGGAAUACUUUGAAAAACAGGCCCUAGAAACAGCACCAAAAAAGCCAACUGUUUGGUUCAGAUACGUAGAUGACACCUUCACGAUUUGGAGCCAUGGAGAGGAAGAACUCAGCAAGUUCCUGGACCAUCUUAACAGCAUCCACCCAAACAUCCAAUUCACCAUGGAAAAAGAAAAGGAAGGAAAACUGCCAUUUCUAGAUGUUCUGGUCAUCCGCAAACCCAAUCAACAAUUGGGCCACACAGUUUACAGAAAACCUACACACACAGAUAGAUACCUUCAUAAAAACUCCAACCAUCACCCAAGUCAAAAAAGGAGCACAAUCAAAGCCCUGACAGACCGUGCACAAAGAAUCUGCGAACCUCACCUCCUCCAAGGUGAACUCAACCACCUAAACUGGGCUCUACAGGCCAAUGGAUACUCCACCACAGACAUCAGAAGAGCUGCAAGGCCAAGAACAAGCCAUGAGAGUCAAGACAAAGAUCCACCCAGAGGAAAGGUGUACUUACCAUACAUCAAGGGAACUACUGACCGCAUAGGGAAGCUGAUGAAGAAGCACAACCUACAAACUAUCUACAAACCCACGAAGAAAAUCCAACAAAUGCUACGGUCAGCGAAGGACAAGAGGGAUCCUCUCUCUUCUGCAGGAGUCUACCGGAUACCAUGCAGCUGUGGACAAGUCUACAUAGGGACCACCAAACGCAGCGCCCAAACAAGAGUCAAAGAACAUGAAAGGCACUGCAGACUAAUUCAACCAGAGAAAUCAGCCAUAGCAGAGCAUUUGAUGAACCAGCCUGGACACAGAAUACUAUUUGAGAACACAAAAAUGCUGGACCAUUCUAACAACUAUCAUGUCAGACUACACAGAGAAGCCAUUGAAAUCCACAAGCAUGUGGACAACUUCAACAGAAAGGAAGAAACCAUGAAAAUGAACAAAAUCUGGCUACCAGUAUUACAAAACUCAAAAAUCAGAACAGUAAAUAAAAAGCAAUACUCUGAAAACAGAGGGUUUCCAGACAUGAAUCAACCAAGGGCAGUUAACGACUCUAAACAAAGGAUGCCCCAGAGGCAGGAAGAAGACAGCAGAUAA